rnacentral:lncRNA from 1 species
UAUGCUAUUCAAAGGUGUAGGGGUCACCUAGCACCUCCAAUAAUGCUUCUAAUCCUAAUGAGAAUUUAGGGAUGAAAUUAUUCAAUUAAGAAGUGUGUGUGUCUGUGUGUGAGAGAGAGAGAGAGAGAAAGCAAUACUCAGUUUUCCCAAUAAAAAUUUAUUCACUGUUCCUUGGUAGCAAUUUUUACAACUAACAUAAUGAAUCAGAGACUUAAAAUACACCUUCCCUGGCCCUCCACCCUAACAUUCUACAUCAUUUUUUCCUAGGGGAAAGACCUUAAGUAAAAAUGCUAUUAAACUCAUGAAAAAAAAAAUUGGGGUAAAAGUGGCACCUUUUUGUGCACUUAACACAGUUCGUUAUAAGACUAUUCUUUUCUCUAACUACAUACGGCAACUAGGAAAAGGGAUGCUCUGCUUGUCUGCCUCUCAUUUGCUCUCCCUGCUCUUUUUAAAUUUACAUCAUAAUUGUGUAUUAUUUUGACACAUGUUGUCUACCAAAUAGAAGGACAUAUGUACACGAACAGGCUCAAACACAAGGGGAGGGGGCAUUUACUAGAGAGUACAGAGCCACACCCCUCCCAGGUGGGUGCCCUGCAGAAAGGCCUGGUACUGAACACACAGAGAUGUACCCACGGUAGCACUGUUUCUGAGAUAUAGUGGUCGUUCCUUCCCACUGGUGAAAAUAUGUUUAUAAUAUCAAAUGGCAACAGUCAUAAACUACUAUUCCCAAAAGAGGCCAUCAGAACCUGCAUCCUGAUUCUGAAAUUAUCACCAGCGAUCUUGAGGAAAAGUGAUGGGACUGACAUUGGUGAACCGAGCACACAGGGAAGAAAAUCUGUAAUUGAUGGCAACAUGAUCACAUACCAGGAUCCUCAGAUGUCAUGAGUCUAAGUCCCACGCCAAGCAUUUUUGGUGAUUCUAGGCUUAUAUGGCAGAGCUCCUUUGAUAGGUGAGACAUUCUAAAGAUGCAAAACUUAAAAAAGACCAUCAAAGCUGGAACAAUUUGAGCAAAAAAAUAUAUAACAGUAUUUGAGUAUAGCCCAAAGUAUAAAAUAAAUAUAUGAGUCCAUACUCCUAUACA